rnacentral:rRNA from 1 species
AUGUCCUACGGGAGGCAGCAGUGGGGGAUAUUGCACAAUGGGGGGAACCCUGAUGCAGCGACGCCGCGUGGGUGAAGGAGCGCUUCGGCGCGUAAAGCCCUAUCGGCAGGGAAGAAGAUGACGGUACCUGACCAAGAAGCCCCGGCUAACUACGUGCCAGCAGCCGCGGUAAUACGUAGGGGGCAAGCGUUAUCCGGAUUUACUGGGUGUAAAGGGGGGGCAGACGGCAAUGCAAGCCAGGAAGGAAAG